UGGGGAAUAUUGGACAAUGGGCGAAAGCCUGAUCCAGCCAUGCCGCGUGUGUGAAGAAGGUCUUCGGAUUGUAAAGCACUUUAAGUCGGGAGGAAGGGCAGUAAGCGAAUACCUUGCUGUUUUGACGUUACCGACAGAAUAAGCACCGGCUAACUCUGUGCCAGCAGCCGCGGUACUACAGAGGGUGCAAGCGUUAAUCGGAAUUACUGGGCGUAAAGCGCGCGUAGGUGGUUCGUUAAGUUGAAUGUGAAAGCCCCGGGCUCAACCUGGGAACUGCAUCCAAAACUGGCGAGCUAGAGUAGGGCAGAGUGUGGUGGAAUUUCCUGUGUAGCGGUGAAAUGCGUAGAUAUAGGAAGGAACACCAGUGGCUAAGGCGACCACCUGGGCUCAUACUGACACUGAGGUGCGAAAGCGUGGGGAGCAAACAGG
rnacentral:rRNA from 1 species